ACCUGGUUGGUUCAGUUGGUGAAGCAUAUGACUCGUGAUCUUGAGGUUGUGGGUUCAAGCCCCACAUUGGGUG